GGCUCAUUACACCAGCCUUAAUUUACUUGACCUUGACACCCUACUUGGAUAACUGUGGUAAUUCUAGAGCUAAUACAUGCACCAAAGCUCCAAUCUCCCCAGAGCGGAGCGCAUUUGUUCGCCACAAAACCAAGCGCCUCAGGGCGUUCAGUGUUGACUCAGAACAACUAAGCUGAUCGCACGGUCUUGCACCGGCGACGUGUCUUUCAAGUGUCUGCCUUAUCAACUUUCGAUGGUAGUGUAUCUGACUACCAUGGUGAUGACGGGUAACGGAGGAUAAGGGUUCGACUCCGGAGAAGGGGCCUGAGAAAUGGCCACUACGUCUAAGGAUGGCAGCAGGCGCGCAAAUUACCCACUCUCGACGCGAGGAGGUAGUGACGAGAAAUAACGAGACCGUUCUCAUCUGAGGCCGGUCAUCGGAAUGGGUACAAUUUAAACCCUUUAACGAGUAUCUAUGAGAGGGCAAGUCUGGUGCCAGCAGCCGCGGUAAUUCCAGCUCUCAAAAUGCAUAGAAUUAUUGCUGCGGUUAAAAAGCUCGUAGUUGGAUCUGUGCUGAGCGACCGGUCUGCCCACUGGGCACGCACUGGCUCGCCCGGCUUUCCCUGCCGGUCUCUCUCUGACGUUGGUUUUAACCGGCUGGCGUCAGUGGGCUGGCGAGUUUACUUUGAACAAAUCAGAGUGCUUCAAACAGGCGUCUCGCCUGAAUGUUCGUGCAUGGAAUAAUAGAAGAGGAUCACGGUCCGAUUUUAUUGGUUUUGCUGACCGAGAUAAUGGUUAACAGAGACAAACGGGGCCAUUCGUAUUGCUACGUGAGAGGUGAAAUUCUUGGACCGUAGCAAGACGGACUACAGCGAAAGCAUUUGGCAAGAAUGUCUUCAUUAAUCAAGAACGAAAGUCAGAGGUUCGAAGGCGAUCAGAUACCGCCCUAGUUCUGACCGUAAACGAUGCCAACUAGCGAUCCGCCGGCGGAUUCAUUCGCCCUGGUGGGGAGCUUCCCGGAAACGAAAGUCUUCCGGUUCCGGGGGAAGUAUGGUUGCAAAGCUGAAACUUAAAGGAAUUGACGGAAGGGCACCACCAGGAGUGGAGCCUGCGGCUUAAUUUGACUCAACACGGGGAAACUCACCCGGCCCGGACACCGUAAGGAUUGACAGAUUGAUAGCUUUUUCAUGAUUCGGUGGAUGGUGGUGCAUGGCCGUUCUUAGUUCGUGGAGCGAUUUGUCUGGUUUAUUCCGAUAACGAGCGAGACUCUGGCCUACUAAAUAGUUGGCACAUUGCCACUGUGUGCACAACUUCUUAGAGGGAUUUUCGGUGUUCAGCCGCACGAAAUUGAGCAAUAACAGGUCUGUGAUGCCCUUAGAUGUCCGGGGCUGCACGCGCGCUACACUGGCAAAAUCAGCGUGCUUGUCCUCCCCCGAAAGGGGUUGGUAAACCGAUGAAAAUUUGCCGUGAUUGGGAUCGGACAUUGCAAUUAUCGUCCGUGAACGAGGAAUCCCUUGUAAGGGCGAGUCAUCAACUCGUCCUGAAUACGUCCCUGCCCUUUGUACACACCGCCCGUCGCUGCCCGGGACUGAGCCAUUUCGAGAAAACCGGGGAUUGUUGGCCUGACGGCUCUCGGGUCGUCUAGCCGAUGAGAACCGGCUUAAUCGCACUGGUUUGAACCGGGCAAAAGUCGUAACAAGGUAGCUGUAGGUGAACCUGCAAGACUGG
rnacentral:rRNA from 1 species